AGGCACUCAUAGGGAAGCAGGAAGGCCAGUCUUGUUUCCGAAAACGCCUCUUCGUUUACUUGAAAGAGACCUCAUGCCAAAAAAUGCGUGGCAUCAUCUCCCACCUGCUCAGUCAUGCCUUGAAUCUCAAGCCCAGAAACGGAACUGCUGCCGGUGGGGGGUACACCCGAAAAAUCAUCAUCCCGAGAACACCUGUUAAAAAGUUCACAAUAGCAGAAAUCCCCGGUGCUGCAUGGAGAAUCUUCACUCAGGAUCUCCUCACGGCCCCCCUUUCUGGUGAAGGCUGAUCAGCUUCCAGCCACACAGAUGUGAAGCCUCGCUGUCUCCAAGGAACCCCGGAGUCCUGUUGAUUCCCCUUCUGAAUAUCUCCUCAUUCUGACCUCCUCCUCCUCACACCCACUGCCCUCCA